rnacentral:rRNA from 1 species
GAUGAACGCUGGCGGCGUGCCUAAUACAUGCAAGUCGAGCGAACAGACGAGGAGCUUGCUCCUCUGACGUUAGCGGCGGACGGGUGAGUAACACGUGGAUAACCUACCUAUAAGACUGGGAUAACUUCGGGAAACCGGAGCUAAUACCGGAUAAUAUAUUGAACCGCAUGGUUCAAUAGUGAAAGACGGUUUUGCUGUCACUUAUAGAUGGAUCCGCGCCGCAUUAGCUAGUUGGUAAGGUAACGGCUUACCAAGGCGACGAUGCGUAGCCGACCUGAGAGGGUGAUCGGCCACACUGGAACUGAGACACGGUCCAGACUCCCACGGGAGGCAGCAGUAGGGAAUCUUCCGCAAUGGGCGAAAGCCUGACGGAGCAACGCCGCGUGAGUGAUGAAGGUCUUCAGAUCGUAAAACUCUGUUAUUAGGGAAGAACAAAUGUGUAAGUAACUAUGCACGUCUUGACGGUACCUAAUCAGAAAGCCACGGCUAACUACGUG